rnacentral:rRNA from 1 species
ACGGGUGAGUAACACGUGGGAACGUACCCUUCGGUUCGGAAUAACGCUGGGAAACUAGCGCUAAUACCGGAUACGCCCUUAUGGGGAAAGGUUUACUGCCGAAGGAUCGGCCCGCGUCUGAUUAGCUAGUUGGUGGGGUAAUGGCCUACCAAGGCGACGAUCAGUAGCUGGUCUGAGAGGAUGAUCAGCCACACUGGGACUGAGACACGGCCCAGACUCCUACGGGAGGCAGCAGCGGGGAAUAUUGGACAAUGGGCGCAAGCCUGAUCCAGCCAUGCCGCGUGAGUGAUGAAGGCCUUAGGGUUGUAAAGCUCUUUUGUCCGGGACGAUAAUGACGGUACCGGAAGAAUAAGCCCCGGCUAACUUCGUGCCAGCAGCCGCGGUAAUACGAAGGGGGCUAGCGUUGCUCGGAAUCACUGGGCGUAAAGGGCGCGUAGGCGGCCAUUCAAGUCGGGGGUGAAAGCCUGUGGCUCAACCACAGAAUUGCCUUCGAUACUGUUUGGCUUGAGUAUGGCAGAGGUUAGUGGAACUGCGAGUGUAGAGGUGAAAUUCGUAGA